UGAAUUCACUACUGUAAGUCACUCUGGAUAAGAGCGUCUGCUAAAUGACUGAAA
rfam:Salmo salar isolate Sally breed double haploid chromosome ssa03, whole genome shotgun sequence.